rnacentral:rRNA from 1 species
UACAGGGGGGGCAAGCGUUGUUCGGAAUUACUGGGCGUAAAGGGUCUGUAGGUGGCCAACUAAGUCAGACGUGAAAUCCCUCAGCUUAACUGGGGAACUGCGUCUGAUACUGGAUGGCUAGAGUGUGGGAGAGGGAUGCGGAAUUCCAGGUGUAGCGGUGAAAUGCGUAGAUAUCUGGAGGAACACCGGUGGCGAAGGCGGCAUCCUGGACCACGACUGACGCUGAGUGAGCGAAAGCCAGGGGAGCAAACGGG